AAUCGUUCAUCUACGAAUCUACAAAAAUAUGGAGCUAGGCAUGCACUUGGGUGGAUCUAAUACGAUUUCUCCCUAGGAUCUCACGGCCGGCGACAGUUGUGAACGAUUAAAUAUUAUUUACUAGACCUGGAUAUGAACGCAUUAAGGCAAUACACAAUACACAUCCUUGUAAUUAAGGUGACAGGACCCACAACGAUUCCUGGGAAACAACCUGCAAUUGAAAUGAAUUACA